CCAAGGCGUGCUACCUGAGCUGACAGC
rnacentral:piRNA from 1 species